GAGGGGAGGUGGAUCCUGGGCUGUGUCCCGGCGCCCUGUGCUCCUGGGCCUGCGCUGUCGGAUUGCGCUCCCGGCUGCGCAGCACCUU
rfam:Canis lupus familiaris chromosome 32, whole genome shotgun sequence.